rnacentral:rRNA from 1 species
ACCACCAUGGAUGAGCGAUGGCAAGGUUUGCCGGCGCAGCGGGUGACCUUCCCUCAUGUCCAGACACUUGGAGCUCAGCCCUCUGCAGCCGGACUCAGGUUUGAAGAUUCAUAGUCCCUCCCAAAGCCCCUGCCCCCUCCAACCUUCCUCUCUGUUCCCCAAAGGGGAUCCGGGGAUGAGCGAUUGGCUGGUAGGCUGGAGAGGCUUGCCUCUGUUGCCAUGGGAACCCCGGUUGCCACUGCCGCAGAUGAGAGCAGUUGGGCUCCCGGGCUUAGUACCUGUAACCCAUUUGUUUAAAACCCUGAUUGUCCUGACUGACUCCCAAGUGGGGCAGCUGAACGGGGCACCGAGCAGUCUCGUCGCAUGGACAGGACGAGCGACAGUGUCACCCCAGCCUCUCCUGCACCAGCAGGUUCGGGCCGACAUCUGGAAAAAAAGUUGCCUGUGAAGUCUCGCCAGUGAUUUACUAAGGUUGAAUGUCAAUGAAGAAAGUAUCUAGCUGUGAGAAUUGAAGAACACAUUGAUGAACUGCAGAAUACAGUGUUAUCAUCGACACUUCGAACGCACACUGCGGCCAUGGGUUCCUCCCAUGGCUACGCCUGUCUGAUCAUCACCAUUGCAGGAUCCCUGGACCUGGCACAGAGGUUUGUUCCCUGCACAUCCUGGCCACCCCGUUUUCCCCCAUCGUGAGGUCGGGAGAGCCAGACACCCGGCGUACCCCGGUGAUGGUGGUGGCGCAACCAAAAAACCCACAGCACCUUCUUGCCUCUCCCCGGGGCAGCAGGCCGUGCCGCAUGUGGCUAUCUGUGGUGUCCCACGGCUGCCUUCAUGGGACGGCCCUGGAGUGCAGGCCUCGCAACCGCAUCCGGCGGGCAACCUAUCCCCAGACGGGCUACUGCGUAGAUCGGGACAACGCAGCAUUUGGCCAUGCUAGAGGCAUGGGGCUAGGGCAACCCUCCAACAGCCCUGGGCCAGAGGCUGGCUGCUUGAGCUUCGGCUGCCUGACUAUGACCUCAGAUCAGACGUGGCAACCUGCUGAAUUUAAGCAUAUUACUAAAUGGAGGAAAAUAAGCUAACCAGGAUUCCCUCAGUAACGGCGAGUAAACAAGGUAAAAUCCCAGCACUGAAUCCCCGGCGGGUGUGAGAAAUGUGUUAUAGCCCCUGGCAGCAGUUUUGCCAUGUGCGUGGGGCUGAGGAGAUUGGCCACCGCCGUUCCCUCCUCAGCAAUCAUCCUGACCCGUCUCAGGUGCGACUGUCGACUGUGGUGGACUGUACUCAGUGCGUUCUGACCGAGACACGCCACAGGGUAGGGAGGCCCACGAAGGGCACCAGGGUUCUGCGGUGAAGUCGGUUACCCACUCAAGCCAUCUUGCAAUAACAGUAGCAAAUAUUCAAACAAGAACUUUGAAGGCCGAAGUGGAGAAGGGCUCCAUUGGAACAGCAGUUGAACAUGGCUAAAUCGGACCUAAGAGAUGGGCGGAGCACUGUUUGGAAGGGACAGGCGAUGUCAUCCGUUGCCCUCAACCAAUCAAAAGGGAGUCGGGUUCAGAUCCCUGAACCCAGAGUGGCAGAAACAGUCACCCUCGCGGCAUCCAAUGCGGUAACACAAAGGAUCGCGGAGAAGCUGGCAAAGCCCUGGGGAGAGUUCUCUUUCUUUCUGCCGGGCAGGACACCCUGGAAUGGGUUUGCCCCGAGAGAGGUAGCCCGAGCCUUGGAAAGCCUUGCGGUUCCGACUGCAUCCGGCGAGCUCUCGCUGGUCCUUGAAACUCCAGGGGAGAUGGUGGAAAUCUUGCACUGAGCCAUACCCAUAUCCGCAGCAGGUCUCCACGGUGAACAUCCUCUGGCAUGUUGGAACAAUGUAGGUAAGGGAAGUUGGCAAAUCAGAUCUGUAACAUUGGGAUAAGGAUUGGCUCUAAGGGCUGGGUUGGUCGCACUUGGAUGCAAAGCAGGGCUGCGUGCGUGCUGACUGUGGACGUGCGCCGGGGCCUUCCUGUGGAUCACCCCAGCUGCGGUGGUCGCCUCUCUCCGUUCCCCUCCCAGAGUAUGGGGCUGGUGUUCUGUCUCGGCAUACAUCUAGCAGCUGACUUAGAACUGAUGCGGACCAGGGAGAUCCGACUGUUUAAUUAAAACAAAUUAUUUCUAAGGCCUGCAGCAGGUGAUAUUUCUGCCCAAUGCUCUAAAUGUCAAAGUGAAGAAAUUCAAUGAAGUGCGGGUAAACAGCGGGAGUAACUAUGAUUCUCUUAAGGUAGCCACAUGCCUUGUCAUCUAAUUAUUGAUGCAUGAAUGGAUAAACAAGAUUCCCACUAUCCCUACCUACUAUCUAGCGAAACCACAGCCAAGGGAACAGGCUUAGCAGAAUCUGCAGGGAAAAGAGACCCGUGUUGAGCUUGCCUCCAGUCUGGCACUGUGAAGAGACAGGAUAGGUGUAGGAUAAGUGGGAGCCCCCUCGGACCGCUGGUGAAAUGCCACUAAUCUCUUUUUUACUUUCCCGGUAAGUCUAUAGCUUCUGGCUCCAAGCACCCAGCGCCUGCCUGGCGCAGCCCACUCUGGGGACGGUGGCAGUUGGAGAGUUUAGCUGGGGUGGUACACCUGUCAAACUAUAACACAGGUGUCAUAAAGCGCACUCAAAGAGGACACAAAACUCUCUUGGAGUAGAAGGGCAAAAGCUUGCUUGAUCUUGAUUUUCAGCAUGAAUACAGACCGUAAAAGCGUGGCCUCACGACAAGUUUUUGGUUUCAAGCAGGAGGUGUCCAAAAAGUUACCACCUCCUGCUUGAGGAGAAUUCAGCAAGUGUUGGAUUGUUCUUCCACUAAUAGGGAACGUGAGCUGGAUUUAGACCAUUAUGAGACAGGUUUGUUUUACUAUACUGAUUAUGUGUUGUUGCAAUAGUAAUCAUACUCAGUACAAGAGGAACUGCAGGUUCAGACGUUUGGUUUAUGUGAUUGGCUGAGGAGCCAAUGGGCUUAAGCUACCAUCUGUGGGAUUAUGACUGAACGCCUCUAAGUCAGAAUCCUGCCUAAAUCCUAACGAUACUAUAGCGCUGUGGAGCAUCGGUUGGCCCUGGAUAGCAGGUGUGUAGAGCCGCUUGGCUAGAGACUCAAGUGUGGACAGAAGGGGAUCAUCUCUCUUGCCCGUAGUGCACAGCAUGUUCUUG